rnacentral:rRNA from 1 species
ACGGGAGGCAGCAGUGGGGAAUAUUGGGCAAUGGGCGCAAGCCUGACCCAGCAACGCCGCGUGAGGGAAGAAGGUUUUCGGAUUGUAAACCUCUGUCCUUGGUGACGAAGGAAGUGACGGUAGCCAAGGAGGAAGCCCCGGCUAACUACGUGCCAGCAGCCGCGGUAAUACGUAGGGGGCGAGCGUUGUCCGGAACGACUGGGCGUAAAGGGCGCGUAGGUGGCUUUUUAAGUUAGAAGUGAAAGUCCUGCUUUUAAGGUGGGAAUUGCUUUUAAUACUGGAGAGCUUGAGUGCAGAAGAGGUAAGCGGAAUUCCCAGAGUAGCGGUGAAAUGCGUAGAGAUUGGGAAGAACACCAGUGGCGAAGGCGGCUUACUGGGCUGUAACUGACGUUGAGGCUCGAAAGCGUGGGGAGCAAACAGGAUUAGAUACCCUGGUA